CAAAUUGUGAGAAUAGAAGUACAAUGAUUUAAACUAAAUAAAUUAGUUCUUAUUGAUUGAAGUAACUUGUGUUCCUAUGCUUCUGAUAGUAAUUUUAGUGGGCAUUCUGUGUAUGAUUAAUAAACAAUUUCCGAACAUGUCAAGCAAUAGUUUAAAGAUAUAUUUCACUGACAAUGCAAUAGAAAGAGUGGAACAACGUAGACAUUACCUGGGCCGGAUAACAGUUAAUAACGUAGAACAGAUGCUCCAAUGAGAAAACUAUCGUGCCGUGACUCGAGCUGAGUUAUGCAUUUUACAUAGAACCGUCACAACCGAACGAUGGUUUAAUGAUAAAAAAAACAAAACAAUCAUAUGAAUUUAUGAACGUUGGCGCCAUCUUUGCUUUUUCUAUGCAGAAAAAUUAGAAAUCUAGAUUCGGCCAACUGAUAAACAUAGAUCGGAGCGAAUAGCUUUAUGAACGUUAUUAAUCAUUAUGGAUGGAACCGCCUCCGCAGCCGACGUCUUUGGAAGUAAGGAUUCGUCCGACUGUUUACGAGCCUGACGAUAACCAAGAACAAGCAUUUGUGACAUCAGUGCUGACGUCACUAUUUUUAAAAACAAUGAAGUGAAAAUAAAACACAAUACGGUUUUAAUCGUUUUAUUUGAUAUAAAAAUUACUUAUGUACAUUACAUAACGUACAUAAAUAGUCCAAUAUUAGCUUCGAGUCCGCCAUCUUGUAACGAUGGCGGGAACUAGUGUCCGGGAAGCGUCAUGCGACAACUACAUAGUAUAUCGUAUAGUAUGAGAAAGAAUUACAACAAAGAUAUCAUGAUACAUUACAAUUCCAGCACAAAUCCACGAGAAAAGAAGAAAGGAAGACGAAAUAAAAGAAAACUACAGACAAAUGCAAUAAAAUGUAAUAUGUAGUUAGUCUUAGUAAAUGGCAUUACAUGAUUCAUAGUAAUAAAUAUAUAUACAACGGCGCGCGACCCCGCGCGGAGCCGGCGGCUGGCGACCCCCGCGACCCCGCGACCCCCGCGGCCCUCCCGUGAUAUUUACAAUAGAAAUAAAAUUAAUUGUGACACACAGACAGACGGUAAGCUUAGUUUAGGGUAACGAUUCAUGAAUAUAUGUAUAACGAACCUUACGCGGCCGAGUUAAGGUAUCGUUUUGUGUGUUUAGGGGCGAGCUUGGUAUCAUUUACAUGAACGUGUUAGUCUGCCCUCGCGUUCCCAUACAGGUUCGGAACUCUUAUUUGGUAGGACUCUUUAGUUGCAUUUCGUUUACGUGAUUCAUUAAACAGUGACUUUAAGUGACUCGUCGGCUUAUUGUUAUGAAAAA